rnacentral:lncRNA from 1 species
CGUCAACAAGAAGCAAUGUUCAAAUAAAAGUUCAAGACAGCUUUUAGCAGCGUUUUAUGCAUUUGGGUAGCAUACAUAUAAUAAGGAUAUGUGGUAUGAUUGCCAAACACGGUCCAAAUGACAUGGAUUUCACCAAUUGUCAGGCACAUGUCGGCAAUUAGCAAUGAACAAAACCCAUACUGCAUAAUCAGCAAUGAAAGGC